rnacentral:SRP_RNA from 1 species
GCCAGGUGUGGUGGCACAUACCUUUAAUCCCAGCUACCCAGGAGGUUAAAACCAGGGGAUUUCUUACAUUCAGGAGUUCGAAGUGGGCUAUGCCAAUUGGAUGCCUGCACAGAAUCAAGCACAAGCAUGGUGAAUCACCAGGACAUCAAGUUACUUAAAGAGGGUCAAUGAGCUCAGAUUGAAAUGGAGCAGGUCAAAACUCCCUUGCUGAUCAGUAGUGGGACUGACCCUCUGAGUGACCUCUGUACUUGUAGCCUGGCCAAGAUAGGGAGAUCCAGUCUUU